ensembl:lncRNA
CCAGGGAUCAAACUUGCGUCCUUGCGCUUGUGCAUCAGGUGGCGAAACCACUGAGCUAAAUCCCCGCCCCCAGUUAUUACUUUUUUGUGUAAUAAAUAUUUUGUAUUUGAAAAAAGAAAAAAAGAGUGGUUGCCGGGAGUGGUGGCGCACACCUGUAAUUCCAGCACUUGGGAAGCAGAGGCAGGAGGAUCAACAUGAGUUUGAGUCUAGCCUGAACACAAAGUGAGACCUUGUCUAAAGAAAAAAGAGGUGACAGUGGACACCUUGUCCUGUUCUUGAUUUUACUUCCAGGCUGCCUGCCUUUCUUCCCUCCUCCCUCCCAUCUUUCUUUCUCUCUCUCUCCUCUCUCUCCUCUCUCUCCUUUUUUUUUCUGUACCGGGAAUCAAAUUCCAGGCCUUAUGUUUGCCAAGGCAUUGAGCCACUGAACUACAUCCCUGGCAUUUUUUUUUUUUUUGGUACCGGGGAUCAAACUCGGGUCCUUGCGCCUGCUCACCAGGAAGCGAAACCACUGAGCUAAAUCCCAGGCCCUUGAGACGAGGUCUUGCUAUGUAGUUCAGGCUGGCCUUGAACUCACUGUGUAGCCCAGGCUGGCCUCAAACUCAGUGAUCCUCUUGCCUCAGCUUCUCCAAUGCCAGUCCAGGCUAGCCUCACUCAUGCUCAACCUCCUGCCUCAGCCUCCCAUGUGCUGUGAUUACAGGCAUAUGCCACCAUGCCCACCUUUGGCACCCUUUUCCUAAACCAUUUAACCAUAUAUAUGAGGAUCUGUUUCUCAGCUGUCUUCUAUUCCUUUGAUCUGUUUGUCUUCCACCAGUACAGCACUGUUUUGAUUACUGUAGCUUUAUAGUUUUGUGUUUUGAGCCAACUCCUCACUAUGUAGUUCAGGCUAGCCUUGAUUUUUUUUUUUUUUUUGAAACAAGGUCUUGCUAUUUAGUUCAGUCUGGCCUUGAACUCACUCUGUAACUCACGUUGGCCUCAAACUCACAGCAAUCCUCCUUUUUCAGCCUCCUGUGUGCUGGGAUUAUAGGCGUGCAUCAUCAGGAAGUGAUGGUGACUCCCAGGUCAGCGCAGUGGAACGAGGUGACUACAAAGGCCCCAGUCUCGGCUGAGGAGGAGAUGCGGCUGGCCUCGCGGGCUUCUCGGGCAGGGUCCACCAUGGUCCGGG